UAUUACCUGAAAUAUACAUUAUGUUCACAGAGCGUGCAUAUAUAAGAUAAAUAAAUAUCUUACAUCUUCUCUAUUAUCUGUAUAAUAAAUACCUCCCAUAGUAACGUAAUUAAGAAAGGUCCAUUAGCUCAAAUAGUGGAAGUUUUAAAAACAAAGCUUAGUUACAAAGGCAGAGCAGUUUAGGGAAAAAAAAACACACUUCUAAUGCUUGCUUUUUUCAUGUCUACUCAGUAAGUCCUGUUAAGGAAGCUAGAAUUCACCACCCAGUUAAGAGAGAGAUUUGUUCAGUAUCUCAUAUGACCAACAACACAAUUUAAUAUACUGUGAAUUUUAGAAUCUCAAUUAAUCCAUAAUGCCGGAAGUCAAAGUAUGUAUCUCAUAGGAAAAUGUUCCCUGUUCUAUGAAAUCACUUAUCUUAAAUGGUAGGUAGCAUACAGGAGAAUCUGUUCCAUUAAGUAAAUUUUUGUUCCAUUAAGUAAUUUUUGGUACCAGAUAAUCUGCUUGGAAUUUGUAUAACAAAAUUGAUUUUAGACAUAGUUUAGAUGUGGCUUCCUAUACUUGAGAGUCCUAAACCCACUUGGUUAGAGGCUGGUGUAUACUUUUAAAAGCCUGCACUUUUCACUACAGAGAUAAAAGAUCAAAAAGAAGGGGACAGAAUUAACCAUACUAAGUGCUUUAGAGACAUAAUUGCAGUAAAUUCUCAAGAUAAUCCUAUGAGGUAGUAAUGGUAGUAACUAAAAAUAGCAGACUUUAAGUGUUUACUAUGAGUUAGGCACAGUUCUAUGUGCCUCACCGUUAACUCAUCUAAUCCUUAUGACAAUCCCAUUAGGGUAGAUAGUGUUAUUAUCCUCACUUUAGAGAGAAAGAAACGGAGACACAGAGAGGUUGACCUAGGCAGUCUUUCACUACACUUGACAUUCUUAGUAGACUAUGUUGCCUUUAAUAGGUGUAAUUAUACUACAUUUUAUAGAUGAGGAAACUGUUGAGCCCAAGAUUACACAAUGGAUAAACUGCAGAGCCAAUAUUUACCUAUCUGAUUCCAAAGCCCAGGCUAUCUCCAGUACAUUGUGUUAACUCUGUUUACUUAUAAGAGUUGGAGUGAACUAGAAUAUACAAUAGCCAGUAACAGCACUGCUUUUAGUGAACUUUUAAUUCAGGAAUAAGUGAUUGGAAGAUUUCUUCAUGAGAUAAAGCAGUUGACCUCUGAGCAGAUGUUGAAUGAUGAAUAUUUUCUGGGGAUAUUGCCCACCAAUUUAGAGGAGUCACCCAUUUGGUAGUUCUAAUUGUGAAUGAGUGAUUGAGUUACUACCAAGGCAAAAAUUGAAAGAUAGAUAGCAUUCCAGUUAUCUAUUGCUGUGUAAUGAACUAUCCUAAACCUUAGUGACUUAAAACAGCAACUACUUUAUAUAUCGCAUGAUGUUGUGAAUCAGAAAUUCAGGAAAGGCUUGUCUAGGCAAUUUCUUGCUCCCUGUGGUAACAGCUCAGGUCACCUGGUAGUAUUCAGCAGGUGGCUGGACCAGUCAGGAGUGUCCAAGAUGAUCUCACAUUCCUGACACCUUGGUAGGGAGGGCUAGAAGAAUAGGCCCAGCAGGCCUCCUCUCCCUCUCUGGAGUCUCAGGGACUCUCUAUCUGAUCUCUCCAUCAUAGUAGUCAGAGUUAUGAAAUGGCAGCUCAGGCCUCCAAGAGGCUGGGCAGAGGAUGCCAGUCCUCUUCAAGGCCAGGCCCAGAGCUAUCACAGAGUUAUCACCAUACACUAUUGGUCAAAGACUGGUCAGCCCAGAUUCAAGGGGAGAGGAAAUACCUUACCACUUGAUGGAAGAUGUGUCAAGGAUUUGGGGCCAACUUUAAUCUGUUAUAGGUAGCAUGAGGUUUUUUUGAUUUGUCUUAACUCUUGUGUGUUCAUUUAGGUCAGUUGUUUGUGCCAUAGAAACCAUUUCUUAUAUCUACCAUGGGUCAGUAAAGGAGCUAGAAGGAGAAUGAGACAAAUACCUGGAACAGAUUUCUUUAGCUUCCCACCCCCUGAGUUUCAUUUAUAUUAUAGCAAAAUUUCCAUUUUUUCUUUUGUUCCAAGUUCCAAAUUGUGAGCAUUUGCCGUUUUUUUUUUUUUUUUUUCCUGUGAAGCCACAGUAACUGUCUAUGCUAAACCAGAAAUACUCUAGAGGGAAUAGAAAGCUUGCUGUUACAGACCUUGAUUUAUUAGAGAUGUCAGCUGUAUUUAAUUUACAAAUAGGCAAGAACUCCUGUGGUAUGGAAAAUUUAUAUGGCUGCUAAAUCUGUUUCAACAGGAGUUUCUAUUGAGUGGCUAGAUGGAUUAUAUUCUUGAGAUGAUUGCAAGUUUUGCCUACAUAUCCUACACAUCUUUACUGCCACCACACCACCUCUGGCACAAAUUUGUGCUAGGAGAAUAGGUUCAUUCCAUUUAUAUUACCUUCCAUAUGGGAAAAUCCGUUGCCCAGUUUUAUAGUUGUUAAUCUUUUAAAAUUAUCAGUUGCUAUCAGCUUCUGUUAUAUAGAAUAACAAAUCAUUGAAUUUUUACAAUUUUUGGUUAGACUUGUCAAAUUUAGGAUGCUUUAUUUAAAUUCCUGCUGGCUUAUAAAUGGACUUUUUUUGCCUUCAGAAGAAAUAAUGGCAGAGAAUGGAUUCUGCUCUAAAAAUGAUCAUCCCCAAAUGAAUACACUUUCUAAGAGAAGAAAGGUUUGGUAUUAUCUAUCCAUUCCAUGUAUAGUGGUUUCCUAGAGAAUUAGUUGUGAGGGCUUCUUGCUGGUCAUCCCCAAUUAUCAUAUAGUGAAGAGAUCUCUGUUCCCCGGUCAGGCCUCAGGAAUUACAAAUACAGGAUAUAAAAGGGGUACUCAGGGCUGAAGACUUAAUUUAGGACUCUAGAAAAUUCUGGGAAGAGAAAAGAAAGACUUCGGCAUUUGUAGUUGAAUAACCAGGGUUGGAAUGUUUGACUCAUUUAGGCAUCAGGAUUAAUUAGAUUUUAUCAUAUAAUGAUUGGGGCAAAUUUUGAUGAAUAAAAAUAAAAUAGUCUUAACAUUUUCUUUUUUAUCCAUAUUUCCACUCUGCUGUACCUCAAAGUCUGCUCUUUGUGACAGAGAAGUCUUUGAAAAUAUACUCCCAGGGAAUGAAAAAUUGGUUCUAGGUACUUUUGCUAGAACCAUCUUUGCCAUAGUCAACUUUGCUGCAAGCAUUUUCACCUUAUAACUAAUUCGCUGUAAGGCAAUUUUGCC
rnacentral:lncRNA from 1 species